rnacentral:rRNA from 1 species
CAGCAGCCACGGUAAUACAGAGGGUGCGAGCGUUAAUCGGAUUUACUGGGCGUAAAGCGUGCGUAGGCGGCUUCUUAAGUCGGAUGUGAAAUCCCUGAGCUUAACUUAGGAAUUGCAUUCGAUACUGGGAAGCUAGAGUAUGGGAGAGGAUGGUAGAAUUCCAGGUGUAGCGGUGAAAUGCGUAGAGAUCUGGAGGAAUACCGAUGGCGAAGGCGGCCCCCUGGACAAAGACUGACGCUCAGGUGCGAAAGCGUGGGGAGCAAACAGGAUUAGAUACCCCUGUAGUCCCUGUCUCUUAUAC